UACAGAGGGGGCAAGCGUUGUUCGGAAUUACUGGGCGUAAAGGGCGCGUAGGUGGCCUUCUAAGUUGAACGUGAAAUCCCUGGGCUCAACCCAGGAACUGCGUCCAAGACUGGGAGGCUUGAAUCCGGGAGAGGGAUGCGGAAUUCCAGGUGUAGAGGUGAAAUUCGUAGAUAUCAGGUGGAACACCAGUGGCGAAGGCGGCUUUCUGGACGAUAACUGACGCUGAGACGCGAAAGCGUGGGGAGCAAACAGG
rnacentral:rRNA from 1 species